rnacentral:rRNA from 1 species
CCUACGGGCGGCAGCAGUGAGGAAUAUUGGUCAAUGGACGAGAGUCUGAACCAGCCAAGUAGCGUGAAGGAUGACUGCCCUAUGGGUUGUAAACUUCUUUUAUAUGGGAAUAAAAUGUUCCACGUGUGGGAUUUUGUAUGUACCAUAUGAAUAAGGAUAGGCUAACUCCGUGCCAGCAGCCGCGGUAAUACGGAGGAUCCGAGCGUUAUCCGGAUUUAUUGGGUUUAAAGGGAGCGUAGGUGGAUUGUUAAGUCAGUUGUGAAAGUUUGCGGCUCAACCGUAAAAUUGCAGUUGAAACUGGCAGUCUUGAGUACAGUAGAGGUGGGCGGAAUUCGUGGUGUAGCGGUGAAAUGCUUAGAUAUCACGAAGAACUCCGAUUGCGAAGGCAGUUCACUGGACUGCAACUGACACUGAGGCUCGAAAGUGUGGGUAUCAAACAGGAUUAGAUACCCCAGUAGUC